ACCCCUCUUUCACUUCCAGACUGAGCUAUUAUUUCUAUUAAGUCGAACUCAGAAGGGCAUCUUCUUAUUUUGAAGGUAGUGAGCAAGAAACAUUCUAUCAAGACUGCAACUGAUGUAAAUGGUGGCUCAGAGACUGGUAUAGUCAGUAAUAACUGUGGCUCCAAUGGCCAGACUUCCCAGAGACCUCGGGACGGUGGAGGUGAGCCUCCAAUGCCAGCUUGCUUCUCAGCCGCUUUGCCACUCAAGACCUCUGUGAUAUUUCCAAUCUUCCAAAAGGGAUGACCGCCUUCAAGAACACUUGGAUUUCCUGCCAGCAUCUGGUGGUUAUGGAACUCACCAAAGAGUUCUGAUCCCUGCCUCUUCAUCGGGUUGUCGAGACCACCUGUGAGACUUGGACACCCACGACUCUAGACAAGGUCUCUGCCAGCUCUGUGGAGUCCACUGCGAUGAGUUUGACAAAAAGUCUCAGCAGUUUCCUGCGGCUGUAGUGAAGUGGCCGUUAAGGUUGGGUACAAAGGAACUCACCGAGUAAGGGUUCUAAGAAAAAGAGAAAAAUAGUUUCCUUCUAUACCACCAGAGUGGAAGUGGAGAUGGAAACGUUUCUCUUGGGUAAGUCUCUCUGUACAGUGUUUAACAAGUUUCUAUGUUUCUUCAGGCAAAAUGUACAUCUGUUU